rnacentral:rRNA from 1 species
GAUGAACGCUGGCGGCGUGCUUAACACAUGCAAGUCGAACGGGAUCCAUCAGGCUUUGCUUGGUGGUGAGAGUGGCGAACGGGUGAGUAAUGCGUGACCGACCUGCCCCAUACACCGGAAUAGCUCCUGGAAACGGGUGGUAAUGCCGGAUGCUCCAGUUGAUCGCAUGGUCUUCUGGGAAAGCUUUCGCGGUAUGGGAUGGGGUCGCGUCCUAUCAGCUUGACGGCGGGGUAACGGCCCACCGUGGCUUCGACGGGUAGCCGGCCUGAGAGGGCGACCGGCCACAUUGGGACUGAGAUACGGCCCAGACUCCUACGGGAGGCAGCAGUGGGGAAUAUUGCACAAUGGGCGCAAGCCUGAUGCAGCGACGCCGCGUGCGGGAUGACGGCCUUCGGGUUGUAAACCGCUUUUGACUGGGAGCAAGCCCUUCGGGGUGAGU